rnacentral:rRNA from 1 species
CCUACGGGAGGCAGCAGUGAGGAAUAUUGGUCAAUGGACGAGAGUCUGAACCAGCCAAGUAGCGUGAAGGAUGACUGCCCUAUGGGUUGUAAACUUCUUUUAUAUGGGAAUAAAACGUUCCACGUGUGGGAUUUUGUAUGUACCAUAUGAAUAAGGAUUGGCUAACUCCGUGCCAGCAGCCGCGGUAAUACGGAGGAUCCGAGCGUUAUACGGAUUUAUUGGGGUUAAAGGGAGCGUAGGUGGAUUGUUAAGUCAGUUGUGAAAGUUUGCGGCUUAACCGUAAAAUUGCAGUUGAAACUGGCAGUCUUGAGUACAGUAGAGGUGGGCGGAAUGCGUGGUGUAGCGGUGAAAUGCUUAGAUAUCACGAAGAACUCCGAUUGCGAAGGCAGUUCACUGGACUACAACUGACACUGAGGCUCGAAAGUGUGGGUAUCAAACAGGAUUAGAUACCCCGGUAGUC